CCCUUAGAUGUUCUGGGCUGCACGCGUGCUACACUGAUAUUGCCAAUAUGUCAUUCUUAUCCGAAAUGGAUUGGGUAAUCAAGUAAUGAAAUUUCAUGCUUGGAAUCGGUAAUUGCAAUUUUAUCGUGAACGAGGAAUUCCUAGUAAGCACUAGUCAUCAGCUAAUGUUGAUUAUGUCCCUGCCCUUUGUACACACCGCCCGUCGCUACUACUGAUUGGGUGUUCAAGUGAGAUGCUUAGACCCUUGUUGCAUGGUUCAUUAUUGUGCUCCGAAAGGAAAAAGUUUCAAGCUUGAGUGUCUAGAGGAAGUAAAAGUCGCAACA
rnacentral:rRNA from 1 species